rnacentral:rRNA from 1 species
GACGUAGGGCGCGAGCGUUGUCCGGAUUUAUUGGGCGUAAAGAGCUCGUAGGCGGCUUGUCGCGUCGUCCGUGAAAACCCACAGCUCAACUGUGGGCGUGCGGGCGAUACGGGCAGACUGGAGUACUGCAGGGGAGACUGGAAUUCCUGGUGUAGCGGUGGAAUGCGCAGAUAUCAGGAGGAACACCAAUUGCGAAGGCAGCUCGCUGGGACGUUACUGACGCUGAGACGCGAAAGCGUGGGGAGCAAACAGG